CUAUAGCGAGUUAGUGUUAAUUUUGUUAUUUAAAGGAGACCAAAUCGAUUGUGUUACGUACAGAUCGAAUAUGAUUAUGAAUAGGAAAAUGAAGAGUACUGUAGGCGUGUGUUUGUUGUUUUUGGUUUUGUUGGAAGCGAUGUGCUGUGAAGGGUGUUGGAAGGAAGAGAGAGAUGCUCUUUUGGUCCUAAAUUCCCGUUUUGACUUCCCUCUCUCUUGGGACGGCCCAUACUGUUGUCAAUGGGAACGAGUGGAGUGCAACUCCACCACUGGGAGAGUGGCCCAACUCGAUUUGCUGUCUCUGUGGUGGUUACGGCCUUUCAAUAUUAAUUACUCAGAUUUUGUUGUCUUCAAAGAUUUGAAGAACCUGGACUUGUCAUUGAAUGGCAUAUCCGGUUGUGUAGGGAAUGAAGCGCGGCUGGAAAGUCUGGAAGUCCUUGACAUAAGUAGAAACUAUUUGGAUGAUGCUGGCAUUCUAUCUUGUUUGGAUGGGCUUUCAUCUCUUAAGUCUCUAUAUUUAAGAGAUAUCGGGUUGAAUACAUCUUCAUUCCACGUUUUUGAAACUCUAUCUUCAAAGUUGCGUUAUCUGGAAGUCCUUGACGUAAGUGGCAACUAUUUGGAUGAUGCUGGCAUUCUAUCUUGUUUGGAUGGGCUUUCAUCUCUUAAGUCUCUAUAUUUAGCAGAUAACAAGUUGAAUACAUCUUCAUUCCACGUUUUUGAAACUCUAUCUUCAAAGUUGCGUAAUCUGGAGGUCCUUGACAUAAGUUUCAACUAUUUGACUAAUGACAUCCUGCCAUCCCUCGGGGGAUUUACAUCUUUGAAAAGGCUGUAUUUGGCUGGAAUUCAUUUGGACUCAGAUCUUCAUUUCCAAGAGAACGGUGGAUUUACGUGGCCAACCGGUUUACAAGAACUUGAUCUGCGGGAAAACAGAUUAAAUAACAAGUUUCUUCCAUCAUUAAAUGGGUUAGAAUGUCUCAAAUAUCUUGGUUUAAGAUGGAAUCAGUUAGAAGGAUCGCUGAAUAUAAGCGAAUUGUCACGUUUGACUAGCUUGAAGACUCUUGAUCUAAGUUAUAAUAAUAUUAGUGAUUUUGUGGUCCAUCAAGGGAACGGUGGAUUUACGUGGCCAACCGGUUUACAAGCCCUUGAUCUGCGGGAAAACAGAUUAAAUAACAAGUUUCUUCCAUCAUUAAAUGGGUUAGAAUGUCUCAAAUAUCUUGGUUUAAGCAGCAAUCAGUUAGAAGGAUCGCUGAAUAUAAGCGGAUUAUCCGGUUUGACUAGCUUGGAGAUUCUUGAUCUAAGUUAUAAUAAUAUUAGUGAUUUUGUGGUCCAUCAAGGCUUAAAAAGUCUACGCAGAUUGGAUGCUCUUCAUUUAUAUGGGAAUAUGAUAGAUGGAAGCAAGCUAAGAAAGUCGUUGCGAGCUUUUUCAUCUGUUAGGAUGCUUUCAAUGGGAGAAAAUGAAUUUAAAGGAACAAUUGUUGCUGGAGAUUUUCAGGAUUUAAGUAACCUAGAAGAGUUGACAAUGGACCUCAGUAAUAACAUGGAGAAUGAGUUUUUCAAAAGUAUUGGGAAAUUGACAUCUUUAAAAGUUCUGUCUCUUUAUUAUUGUAAUAUAAAUGGCACCCUUCCUCAUGCGGAUUGGUCUAAGCUAAAGAAGUUAGAGUUGUUAGAUCUAUCCGGCAACAAAUUUGAGGGACCACUUCCUUCGUCUUUUGUUAACAUGACGUCUCUCCAGAAGUUGGAAAUAUCUUAUAAUCACUUCAUUGGAAAUUUCGAUUCUAACAUUGCAAGCCUUACAUCACUUGAAUAUUUUGGUUUUAUAGAAAACCAAUUUGAAGUUCCUGUUUCUUUCACACCAUUUGCCAAUCAUUCAAAGAUCAAGUUCAUCCAUGGUGAAGGAAACAAAGUCUCAUUGGACUCACAACAUAGUUUUCCAACUUGGAUUCCAAAAUUUCAGUUACAAGAGCUUAUUGUGUCUUCGACAACUAAAACUAUGUUUCUUCCACUCCCAAAUUUUCUCCUUUACCAAAAUAGUUUAAUCAGACUAGAUUUCAGUAGUUGGAAGUUGGAAGGAGACUUUCCUCAUUGGUUGUUGGAAAACAACACAAAAAUGACCCAUGUUCUGUUUAGAAAUUGCUCUUUCACUGGUACUUUCCAGCUACCCAUGCGUCCCCUUCCUAACAUAUGGGAAAUUGAUGUUUCUGACAAUAUCAUAGUUGGCCAAAUCCCUAGCAACAAUUUCAGUUCAAUUUAUCCAAAUUUGCAUUUUCUUAACUUGUCUAGAAACAACAUCCAAGGUUCAAUCCCUCAUGAGUUAGGCCAAAUGAACUCAUUAUAUUCAUUGGAUCUUUCUGGCAAUCAAUUGUCUGGAGAGAUACCAAAGGACAUAUUUGGAGUUGGUCACCAACUCAGGUUCUUGAAACUAUCAAACAAUAAGCUUGAGGGACCUAUUUUGAAUAUCCCUAAUGGUUUGGAGACCUUGUUAUUGAACCAUAAUAGAUUUACCGGUAGACUCCCAAGCAACAUUUUUAACGCAUCCAUCAUUUCAUUGGAUGUAAAGAAUAAUCAUUUGGUGGGAAAGAUUCCAAGCCUUAUAAAAAACUUGUCAGGAUUGUACGAAAUUUGUUUGUCUAAUAACCAUUUUGAAGGAUCCAUUCCAUUAGAACUUGGAGAACUUGAAGAUUUAACUUCUGUAGAUCUCUCCCAAAAUAAUUUUAUUGGUCUUGUUCCAUCAUUUGCAAAUUCUUCCGUGGCAUUUAUCCAUUUGAACAACAAUCGUUUAAGUGGAUUGCCCAAAAGAAUGUUCCAUGGAAAAUCUUCUUUAGUGAUGUUAGACCUUAGCUACAAUGAAAUAUCUAACAACCUUCAAGAUCUGAUACAUAACCUUAGUUAUAAAAGGUUAAAUUUUCUCCUUUUAAAAGGUAAUCACUUUAUGGGGGAUAUACCAAAGCAGAUAUGCCAGUUGAUAGAUUUAAACAUGCUAGACCUUUCUCAUAACAAUUUUUCUGGUGUUAUCCCCAAAUGCUUAGGUAAAAUGCCUUUUGAGAAUAAGUACCUGAAGAGCUUGUUAGCAAGAUUUUCUACCUUUGAUCCAGAUCCCAAUAACCUUGCCCAAUCUCCGGACCUUGCCCAAUCUCCAACACCGGUAUCGGGACCAACUCUAAAUUUGCAAGAGAAAGCAAAUUUCACUACAAAGGAAAGAACUGACACUUACAUCGGGAGAGUCCUUUUUUAUAUGUCUGGAAUUGACUUAUCUCACAAUAAACUGAAGGGAAAUAUCCCAUUUGAGCUUGGAUACUUGACAAAAAUUCGAGCAUUGAACUUAUCCCACAAUGAUUUAACUGGGAAAAUUCCAGUUACAUUCUCCUUGUUGGCACAAACAGAGAGUUUGGAUCUUUCUUUUAACAUGUUAAACAGUCAAAUUCCUCCUCAACUGAGCAUGUUAACAUCACUUGAAGUAUUUAGUGUGGCACACAAUAACUUAUCAGGUCCAACACCUGAUUUUAAAGGACAAUUUUCCACAUUUGAUGAAAGCAGCUAUGAGGGUAAUCCGUUCCUUUGUGGUCCUCCACUGCCAAAGAGUUGCAAUCCUCCACCUACUAUUAUACCAAAUGACUCAAACACUGAUGGAGACAAUGAUAGUUUGUUGGAUAUGUAUGUUUUCUGUGUGAGCUUUGCCGUGUCAUACAUAUCAACAUUGUUGGUAACUGCAGCAGCUUUAUACAUCAAUCCUUACUGGAGGCAGGCAUGGUUUUACUACAUGGAAUUGGUGAGCAUGAAUUGCUACUACUUUAUCAAGGAUAAUCUGAGCAAGGUUUUCAAAAUUGGAAAUAUGUAAUAUAUCAAGUUGUAUGUCUAGAAUGAUUUCCAUGUGUUUUUGCUAAGUUUGAUAGAAUAAAGGUUAUGUAUAAGUUGUAUGAAAAUAAUAUGCUUCGUAUAUGAUAUUAAUACUAUGUUAAUUAUUGAUACCGACUCAAGGAUUGAGUCAUUUUUCAA